rnacentral:rRNA from 1 species
GAUGAACGCUGGCGGCGUGCCUAAUACAUGCAAGUCGAACGAAACUUCUUUAUCACCGAGUGCUUGCACUCACCGAUAAAGAGUUGAGUGGCGAACGGGUGAGUAACACGUGGGCAACCUGCCCAAAAGAGGGGGAUAACACUUGGAAACAGGUGCUGAUACCGCAUAACCAUAGUUACCGCAUGGUAACUAUGUAAAAGGUGGCUAUACUACCGCUUUUGGAUGGGCCCGCGGCGCAUUAGCUAGUUGGUAGGGUAAAGGCUUACCAAGGCAAUGAUGCGUAGCCGAAUUGAGAGGUUGAUCGGCCACAUUGGGACUGAGACACGGCCCAAACUCCUACGGGAGGCAGCAGUAGGGAAUCUUCCACAAAGGGCUAAAGCCUGAUGGAGCAACGCCGCGUGGGUGAAGAAGGUCUUCGGAUCGUAAAACCCUGUUGUUAGAGAAGAAAGUGCGUGAGAGUAACUGUUCACGUUUCGACGGUAUCUAACCAGAAAGCCACGGCUAACUACGUG